rnacentral:misc_RNA from 1 species
CACCCUACACAGGGAAAUGGGCAAUUGAACUUUUCUGUUACUUUUGCUUAUUUUGGUUCUCCAGAUCAAUACCCAGAUCUUGUUACCUUUUCAUCGAACUAAAUUAUUCUCAUCUUUGAAGGAGAGAGAGACAGUGAUAGAGUGACAACAAUAUGGGUCGGAUUAUCUCGGUGGUGGAAAACUAGUUCUGGCUUGAAAUUGUUUUGCUGUUUUCUCUUCAUUUUGCCUCC